GACAGAGGGUGCAAGCGUUGUUCGGAAUUAUUGGGCGUAAAGGGCGCGUAGGCGGUUUCUUAAGUUUGGAGUGACAGUGGGUGGCUUAACUACCCAAGGCCUUUGAAAACUGGGGAACUUGAGGACCAGAGAGGGACAUAGAAUUCCGGGUGGAGUGGUGAAAUGCGUAGAUAUCCGGAGGAAUACCAAAGGCGAAGGCAGUGUCCUGGAGGGUGACUGACGCUGAGGCGCGAAAGCUAGGGGAGCGAACAGG
rnacentral:rRNA from 1 species